AUCCUGGCUCAGGAUGAACGCUGGCGGCGUGCCUAACACAUGCAAGUCGAACGAGAAGCCUGAUUUCGAUUAGGUGGAGAGUGGCGCACGGGUGAGUAACACAUGGCUGACCUGCCCUUCAGAGGGGGACAACCACCGGAAACGGUGGCUAAUACCCCAUACGCUCGCCGUGAUUAGCAGGCGGUGAGGAAACCUUCGGGGCUGAGGGAGGGGGCUGUGGCCCAUCAGCUAGUUGGUAGGGUAACGGCCUACCAAGGCAAAGACGGGUAGGGGGCCUGAGAGGGUGACCCCCCACACGGGCACUGAGACACGGGCCCGACUUCUACGGAAGGCAGCAGUGAGGGAUAUUGCCCAAUGGACGGAAGUCUGAGGCAGCAACGCCGCGUGCGGGAUGAAGGCCUUCGGGUUGUAAACCGCUUUUCUGCGCGAAGAGGAAGGACGGUAGCGCAGGAAGAAGUCUCGGCUAACUACGUGCCAGCAGCCGCGGUAAAACGUAGGAGGCGAGCGUUAUCCGGAUUUACUGGGUGUAAAGCGCGUGCAGACGGUCAUGUAAGUGGUGCGUGAAAGCGCCCGGCUCAACCGGGCGAGGCCGUGCCAAACUGCGUGACUGGAGGCAGGUAGAGGCGCGUGGAAUUCCGGGUGUAGUGGUGAAAUGCGUAGAUAUCCGGAGGAACACCAGUGGCGAAGGCGGCGCGCUGGGCCUGACCUGACGCUAAGACGCGAAAGCAUGGGGAGCGAACGGGAUUAGAAACCCCGGUAGUCCAUGCUGUAAACGCUGCAGACUAGGUGUUGCGUGCGACGAGUAUGCAGUGCCGAAGCCAACGUGAUAAGUCUGCCACCUGGGGACUACGGCCGCAAGGUUAAAACUCAAAGGAAUUGACGGGGGCCCCGCACAAGCAGCGGAGCGUGUGGUUUAAUUCGAGGCUACACGAAGAACCUUACCU
rnacentral:rRNA from 1 species